UACGUAGGGGGCAAGCGUUGUCCGGAUUUAUUGGGCGUAAAGCGCGUGUAGGUGGCCAAGUAGGUCCGCUGUGAAAACUUGAGGCUCAACCUCAAGCUGUCGGUGGAAACCCCUUGGCUAGAGUCCGGAAGAGGAGAGUGGAAUUCCGGGUGUAGUGGUGGAAUGCGUAGAGCUCCGGAGGAACACCAGUGGCGAAGGCGGCC
rnacentral:rRNA from 1 species